rnacentral:rRNA from 1 species
CCUACGGGUGGCAGCAGUGGGGAAUAUUGCACAAUGGGGGAAACCCUGAUGCAGCGACGCCGCGUGAGUGAAGAAGUAAUUCGUUAUGUAAAGCUCUAUCAGCGGGGAAGAAAAUGACGGUACGUGAGUAAGACGCCCCGGCUAACUACGUGCCAGCAGCCGCGGUCAUACGUAGGGUGCAAGCGUUAUCCGGAUGUACUGGGUGUAAAGGGAGCGUAGACGGCAGUGCAAGUCUGGAGUGAAAGGCGGGGGCUCAACCCCCGGACUGCUCUGGAAACUGUACGGCUGGAGUGCAGGAGAGGUAAGUGGAAUUCCUAGUGUAGCGGUGAAAUGCGUAGAUAUGAGGAGGAACACCAGUGGCGAAGGCGGCUUACUGGACUGUAACUGACGUUGAGGCUCGAAAGCGUGGGGAGCAAACAGGAUUAGAUACCCCAGUAGUC